rnacentral:misc_RNA from 1 species
GAAAUGCGAUAAGUAAUGUGAAUUGCAGAAUUCAGUGAAUCAUCGAAUCUUUGAACUCACAUUGCGCCCGCCAGUAUUCUGGCGGGCAUGCCUGUUCGAGCGUCAUUUCAACCAUCAAGCCCCCGGCUUGUGUUGGGGACCUGCGGCUGCCCGCAGGCCCUGAAAAACAGUGGCGUGCUCGCUGUCACACCGAGCGUAGUAGCAUACAUUCUCGCUCAGGGCGUGCUGCGGGUUCCGGCCGUUAAACGACCUUCAUAACCCAAGGUUGACCUCGGAUCAGGUAGGAAGACCCGCUGAACUUAAGC